UACAGAGGUCCCAAGCGUUGUUCGGAUUCACUGGGCGUAAAGGGUGCGUAGGCGGUCGGGUAAGUCUGACGUGAAAUCUUCAAGCUCAACUUGGAAACUGCGUCGGAUACUAUUCGGGCUCGAGGGAAUGGAGGGGAGACUGGAAUUCCUGGUGUAGCGGUGGAAUGCGCAGAUAUCAGGAGGAACACCGAUGGCGAAGGCAGGUCACUGGGCCGCAACUGACGCUGAGGAGCGAAAGCAUGGGGAGCGAACAGG
rnacentral:rRNA from 1 species